AAAAGGGAUCAUGUAUUAGCAACAUGGUAAAAUCCAAUUCAGCAAUGGUUGACAGCUUGACAUCCUAUGAAUGUAGAAGUCUACAUCACUCUUCCCUUUUAGUUUACAACAACAAUCAUUUUUUCAGCGUAAGAGCACCCUAUAAUCGUCCAAUCUUUUGAGACAGAUGAAAUGGUACUCACUUCAUCUUCCAAAGAGAUUUGUUUAAAGAAAAGUUCCCCCUCAAUUGAUGUAUAUUCUUGCAUAAUCAGCAUUACCAAUUCAACAUCCUAAAGAGUAAGGACAAGAAUCUCUACAACCCAUCUUUCGGAUUCUGGGGAAUAAUUCACAGCACAUCUUAAAGUGAAAAAUCAGAAGCAGUACAUUCAAGCAAGUCAUUUGAAGACUACAUGUUCAUAAUCUAGCAAACUUCUAGCCAUAUAAACGAACUCGGGGGAAAGGGAACAACACAAAGAAAAGAAAUGAAACUAAAAAUCAGAUCUAAAUCCAAAAAUCUCAUAAACUCAAAAGCAUUCAGAUCUCAAGAAAGAGAAUAAAAGAUAA
rnacentral:misc_RNA from 1 species